ensembl:lncRNA
AACUGCCCCUCAAAGUGUGGACAACCUUCCUCAUUUGCGAAGAGUGUCCCAAUGGCAAUGCAGGGAUCAGAACUCAUCCUCUUUCAGCAUAGGUACCUCCAGUCAGAGUGAGUCACGCUCAUCUUCGUCCCUGGCUAGACCAGAGGACAACUUCUCAGACACCGGCUCCAGUGAGGACCAAACAAUCUUCAGUAUGGAUCUGGAUAGCGGAUCUUCACAGAUUCUGCCCCGAAAGGAGCGCCAGGGUGGUGGCAGCAGCUCAGGUGCUCCUUCUGAGUGCUCCUUUGAGAGUGACAUUCCAGCAGCGGGUUUCAAUGGCAAGCGCAACAGCCUUAUCGAGAUCUCACUGUCCUCUCUCAAAGCAUUAGAGGGUGAAGAAGCCGAUCAGGGCCAGGAUAUCUUCUCAGAUUCAAUGAGCGACCAAACAGAGCCGGAAACUAGGGGUGGAGUUGGAUUCUUCUUCAAGCAGGAUGAAGCUCGACCUGAGGAUGAGAUGGAGAGGAGAAGAGCUGCAUUACUUGAGAAACAACAAAAGAGAGCAGAGGAGAUAAAGAGACGAAGACAGGAACAAGAAAGGGAGAGGGAGGCAAGGUAAGGCUUACCAACAAAGCUGUAAAAAGUGACAGCUAUGAAUAAGUAUGAAUGAUGGCAUACAAAUCUUUAGAUGUAUUGAGAGAUAAUGUGUAAUUUCACUUUCUUAGCAGUUAUCCUUUCAUUGAAUGAGGGGUCUGUGCAAAAUGUGGAAUAAGUGCUGAAACAAGUCCCUUAAGUUCUUUAUUAGCACUAAGGGUUUUCAUAUAAGGGUUUUGUUGAAACUGAAAGCCGAAUAUCAUCAUCACACUUGGUUGUGGGGUCUUUUUAACCAGUUACUACCUAGCAACCACCCACUUCUUGCAGCUGCAUCGUAACGCAUGAAAAACCACUCAGGACACCUUGGCAACUGCUUAGAAAUUUCCUGGCCACUAACUGUGGGUGGUUGCAAGUUUUUUUUAUAUGCCAUCUUAUGCUCUUCAACUUAUGUUAAUCCCUAUAUUACCUUUUGGACAUUGUGAGCUUUAUCAGUGCUGUCUAUGAAUGUUUCAGUAGGCCAUCUUCAGUGGAUGAGCCUCGCAGAGGAGAGGAGAGACCCCGAACUCCUUCUACCCCUCCGCCUCCACGCACUCCUCCACCAGAGGGCACUUCUCAUCGGCGUGGAGACUUCACCCGCCAGG